UACAGAGGUCUCAAGCGUUGUUCGGAUUCAUUGGGCGUAAAGGGUGCGUAGGCGGCGCGGUAAGUCGGGUGUGAAAUCUCGGGGCUUAACUCCGAAACUGCAUUCGAUACUGCCGUGCUUGAGGACUGGAGAGGAGACUGGAAUUUACUGUGUAGCGGUGAAAUGCGUAGAUAUCGGAAGGAACACCAGUGGCGAAAGCGGCUUCCUGGUCCAGCACCAACGUUCAGGCACGAAAGCGUGGGGAGCAAACAGG
rnacentral:rRNA from 1 species